GUGCUCCUCGGUGUUCCACUUUUCGCCUUUGUGAUCGAGGCAUUGUAGCACUCCCUGGCUUCUCUUUGGUUUCCCAAAACACGUCCUACCCCCGCGUCUGUUGGGAACUUCAUGGCUAGGUGCCACAUAGAGAUGACGGCCCGUAGAUCAACCAGUAUGGGCCUUCCAAUAACGGCGUUGUACGCCGAAGGACAAUCGACCACUACAAAAGUGGCGAGUAAUGUCCUUGUUGCAGGCGUUGUACCUGUCGUUACUGGGAGUUUGAUCAUUCCGGCUGGGGCGAGUCCUUCUCCAGAGAAGCCGUAUAUCGUUUGAUUGCAGGGUUCCAAGUCUUUUACGGACAAUUUCAUGCGUUCCAGUGUUGACUUAUACAGGAUGUUCACUGAACUUCCUGUAUCGACCAGUACUCUCUUCACCAUCAUAUUGGCCAUCUGGAUGUCCACGACCAGCGGAUUGGAAUGUGGGAACCGGACGUGUUGGGCAUCGCUAUCAGAGAAGGUUAUCUCACCUUCCUCUGACCGAGCCUUUUUUGGUGCACGGUCCUCCACAGUCAUCAUCUCGAUGUUCUAGUCGUGGCGCAGAGUCCGAGCAUAUCGUUCUCUGGCUUUUCCGCUGUUUCCCGCGAGGUGCGGGCCUCCACAGAUGGUUAAGAGUGUUCCAACCACGGGGGCAGGCUGUAAUGGUGGCGAGCGUUGGCGUGUGGACGCCUGCUCGUUGCCACCUGGGGCUUCUCGUUGGGAAUUUCCCAAGGCCCGUACGUAUCUUCUCAAGUGUCCUUGUCUAAUAAGGAACUCGAUUUCGUCUUUUAACUGGUUGCAUUCAUUAGUGUCAUGUCCGUAGUCGUUAUGGUAACGACAGAACUUGGUAGUGUCUCUUUUCGAAAUGUCCUUCCAAUGGGUCCAGGUUUAUUGUAUGGCACACUGGAGCUUGUGGCCUGGUAAACCUCUCCCCGAGACUCAACGAGGGCAGUGUAGUUAGUGAACCGAGGCUCAUAACGAUUACCCUUAGUUCGUUUGUUGUCGAAGGUGGAAGGCUCGUUAUACGGACGUUUUCCACUAUUCUUGCCAUUACCAUUGCCGUUCCCGUUGCCUUUGCCGUUAGGUUUGGAACCAUUGGCGGCUUUGGCGGGUUCGGUGGCCUUCUUACCCUUGUUCGAGGGUUUUCCAUCAUCAGCAAUGGCUUCUUCGAGCUUGAUGUAGCGGUCAGCUCAGUCUAAGAAUUCUUGGGUAGUUCUCACUCCUUCUUUUCGGAGACUUUUCCAGAGGGGAGAGCAACGUUUAACCCCUGUGGUAAUGGCCAUCAUCUUGCCUUCGUCUCCUACUAUUUUUGCUCCAGCCGCCGCUCGCAUAAAGCGCUGGACGUAAUCCUUCACUGACUCCCCGUCCUGCUGGCGAAUUUCGACUAACUGGUUCGCUUCGGUUGGGUGCACACGACCAGCAUAGAACUGUCCGUAGAACUCUCGUACGAACAUUUCCCAGGAAACAAUGCUCGCGGGAGGGAACUUGAAGAACCACUCCUGCGCAGCUUCAGAAAGUGUUGCAGGGAAGAUCCUGCACCGAGCGUCUUCGGACACUUUCUGAAUAUCCAUCUGAAUUUAAAACUUAUUGACGUGCAAGACUGGGUCUCCAUACCCGUCAAAGUUUGGAAGCGUAGGCAUCUUGAAUUUGCUGGGAGUUUCGGCGUUAGCUAUCCUUUGUAUGAACGGAGUGCUUUUCCUCCUAUUGUGGUCGAUGUAUGAAGUCCUUCCCCCGACCAGUUGCUGCACAGCCUAGUUGAGGGCGUCUAUCUGGGCCUGCACUGCGGUAGGAAUCGCUGUGGCCUCUAUUGCUGGGGGGACGUUCUCGCCGUGCCUCUCGCGGCGAUCAUUGAGUACAUCUCUCAAGUCUUCUUCUCUUCUCCGCUGCUCGCUACCCCCGAGCCAGUUGAAGACAUUACUUUGUCUGGGCUGCCCCCCAGCAUCCUGUCUAUUUGGUUGGUCAUCUUGAGGUACCUGGCUCCUGCCUUUACCUCUUUCUCCAUUCCUCCCACUGGCAUUUCCUUUACCUGAGUCGGCCUCAUUGUAUCCGUGGCCAUCUCUGAACCUCGACUGGCUAUGGUGAGAUCGACUGUUCCCUCGAGGUCCGUUCCUAGAUGAACCAUCCCGAGCGUUGGAGGAUGGCCUGCGCUGGUCGUGGUGUCCUCAUGCAUCAUCGUGCCGUGGGGGGCCCCGGACCGCAGAGCCUAACUCUGAAUCUCUCCUGUUUCCAAGAGGGUACUGACCUCUGUUCGGUAGGUUCGGCCCAUCAUCCCUACGAUGUCUAGGGCUGCGAGGCUGAUGCUCGGCCCUAUUCUGCCUCUGUUGCGGGGGGCUACCCCGAGCAGCUUGGGAUGGUGGGUGUGCUUCAGGAUCCUGUGGGACAUCGUCAUGGGGAAUCUGAGGCUGCUCGGGCCUUUGCGGACUCGAAGGCUGGAUCGGUGGGCUCGGAUUAGGACCCCUCUGGGGUGGCUUAUUCACCGGUUGGUCAGGCUGCGAGGCAGGUGCAGUCUGAUUUCUGGCCAAUAGCAAGGCUGCUUCAAGGGCUGCCAUGGCUUCGUUCUGGCGGCGGUCAACCUCCGCCUGCCUUUCGCUCUAUUCCGCGCGCUGCCGUUCGAUCUCUUGCUGCUGCCGCGCCAUAACUUCAGCGGCAGUCUCCUGACUGGCUCUCAGACUAGCCAGCUCUUCCUGCAACGCGCCCAGGGUACUCUUCAGCGUUGCAUCAUCCAUUUCCUCCUCCUCAAAGUCCAGUUGUGGCUCAUCCUCCUCCAUGCUUGUAGGAGGAGGAGGAGGUGGCGGGUUUGACGGUGCAGCGGCGGCUGCCUGUCCAGUUUUCCUUCCAGCUUUCGCCAUUAGUUUUCUCAACGACGAUAAAUCAAGCUCUCAAUGAAAGCACCAGAAUGUUGACCCAAGAUUUGGCCAACUGACACGGAGUCAAAAUAUGCUUGAUAUGAAUGAAAGAGAUGAGAAGAACGUAAUGACAAAAGUAAAUAAGACACAGUAAUUUAUAGUGGUUCGGCCCCAGGAUCUGGUAAUGACCUACGUCCACUUAGACUGAUAUUGAUAUAAAAGUAAGAAGAGUGAUCAAAGAACUGGGGUUCAACGAGUUUCACUAAUCUCUGAAGAACGAUACAAGUUUACUAGGAGAAUUACUAUAGUCCCAAGUGAUUCAAAAGAAAAAAUUCCCCUCCCUUGAGCUAUCUCUUGCUAUUUAUAGGCUCAAGGGGGAUUACAAAAGAUUGUUACAGAUAUUCUUUCCUGAAUAAUCAGAUACCCAGAAGAUUGUAUGAGAUAAAUUCGGGAUUCAUAAAGAUCUUCCCAUAAAUGUCGCCUUGUACACGGAACCAUUGACCAGACUGGUCGUGGGUAAGACAAGCUUACACUGCUUCUAAUGUGUCCUCUGGUCGAUACUCUAGCAGACGUUUCCAAGUGUCAACCACGUGUCCAGGGAUUACUUGCCACGUCAUCAAUGCUAAUUUUAUGGAUAACAGGGAAAAAUGUGAUGUUAAAAUCAGACUAAAUCACUCUAGGAUCAUCGUUAUGCUCAGGAGCAUCGCUUUGGGCUUGGAUUGAAAAUUCUAAGGAGGUAGAUCAGGUGUCCACUCACCUGUAGGUGUAAAGACCUAGCAUCUGUAUACAGGAAGUGUUCUGAGCCUCCCCUUGUGGUGGUUAUCAGGUCCGGCUACCUCGUUUAGGAUGUCGCUUUUCUAUGGUGGGAGACGGGAACUAGGGAUCUAGUGGACGGUGUGAUGUGCCCUUGUAGCUAUGCUCUUAUGAUUAUUUGUAGUUUCUCUCUAUUUUGGUUUAUACAUGAUGAUAUAUGUUUUGUUUUCAAAGCUAACCAUGCUUGGGGUUUUAUUUAACUUUUUGGGUCCUAUGAUAUUAGUUGCUUUCCCACUGGACUUUAUAAGCUCACCCCCUAUCUCUCCCAUUCCAAGAGCCUAGUGAUGCGAAUGUGGAAAAGAUGAAUUAUCGAUGGAUCCAAUUUUUUUAGCCUAUUUCUAUUUAGUGUCAUUGUCUUAUCUUUUGAACAUUAUAUGUAUUCGACUUCGA